CCCUCAUCCCCAUGACAGCCUCGCUCCGCCGGCCCUUAUCCCCAUGACGGCCUCGCCCCGCUGGCUCCUGUCACCACCGCGGCCUUGCCUCGCCGCAAACCCCGCCAAUCUUCCCUAGAUCGACUCUGCUGCCGCCAUCCUACUGCCCCAGAGCAGAUCGAGAUGCGAGCUGCUGGACACGAUGCGGGAGGAGGCAUCUCGAAUUGGACGGAGAUCCAGUGCGUUGACGUGCCCGCUGUAAUCAUCGUCCCCCGUGCUUGGCUCACACAGAUCAAGAUGCGAGCUGCUGGACACGAUGCGGGAGGAGGCAUCUCGAAUUGGACGGAGAUCCAAUGCGUUGACGUGCCCGCUGUAAUCAUCAUCCCCCGUGCUUGGCUCACACAGUUGCUCCGGGAAGGAGUUCGCAGCUCGCGUACGUGCUCGGUUGCUGAAGGCGCCUUCGCCACAUUGUCAUUCAUUUGUGAUAUGUUUCUCUUUCUCUAUGUUGGCAUGGAUGAUAUAUAGAGUAGUGGAAGAUUGUUAGUGAAACACAUUCAGCCCAAUGAAAUGUAUCGCCUUGAGCUCCAUUAUUUAGGCCAGAUCUCAUGAGAGAUGCUGUGUCAAUUGCAUUGGCAUCCAAGAAGGCUUGAAGUGGCGGUCGUAACACAGUCUGUUGGGAGGACUCAGUGCCAGAGUCGAUAUCAUGGACAUUUCCUUGUUAGAACCGGCACUAUCUGUUGUUCUUAAUGAAUUUGGAGCAUGAAUUGGAGUCUGAUAACUCAUUAUCAUAUCAAGGUCCUGAAAGGGAGUACGUGCCCCACUAUGCUCAGAGGAUGCCAUAUUGUCAACUCAGUUUGUCAUGCAGAUCAUGAUGUACUAUGCUGCGGGCUACACGGGGUGAUGACACCGGAGGUAGGGCAGCACGCCGGGUCGAGGAUGUCCACCGGGUGGAGGACGUCGCGGCCACCAGGGGCGACGACCAUGUGGCGACGACGGCGGGGCGAGGAGAUGUAGGGCAGCAAGGCGGGGCGAGGAAGGACGUGCACCGGGAUGGAGGACAUCGCGGCCACCAGGGGCUAGGGCGGCGUGGCGAUGGCGGCUGGGCGAGGAGACGUAGGGCAGCAAGGCGGAUCGAGGAUGGUCGAGGACGUCGCAGACACCAACGCUGAUCGCGGCGGUUUGUGCCGUGGUGGCGGCGUAGAUUGUGGAGGUGUUGUUUAAUUCCCAGGAGGUGUCAUCGUGGGCCUGUGUAGCAUCCUGAACGGGGGAGUCUACCGGCAGAACAUUUGUUGUGAACCGUCGAUCUGAUUGUAGUAUAGUUGAUCUAACGUGGACUGUUGGAUGCUA